UCCAUCGUUCGUAUGACGUACGUGACACGUGAGCUGCUGCUUCGUCUCUCUUAUAUUUACAGGCGCACAUAGAAAUCUACGAUGACGCGGAUAGAGAAUCAAUAUAGCUUAUACGAUCAAUUCAUGCAGAUGCUGUUCACGACUGAACAAACAAACUUCGUCCGAGAUUCGCGACUUGCCAAAUUAUGGGAUAUGUACAAUUCGGAGGCGCCGUCUCUGUUUCGCGAUUUCAUUUUCUAUUGUAAUCGAGUACAAACAACGGAGAGAA